CACGGGGGGAGCAAGCGUUGUUCGGAUUUACUGGGCGUAAAGGGCGCGUAGGCGGUCAGCACAAGUCAGUUGUGAAAUCUCCGGGCUUAACCCGGAAAGGUCAACUGAUACUGUGCGACUAGAGUGCGGAAGGGGCAACUGGAAUUCUCGGUGUAGCGGUGAAAUGCGUAGAUAUCGAGAGGAACACCUGCGGCGAAGGCGGGUUGCUGGGCCGACACUGACGCUGAGGCACGAAAGCGUGGGGAUCAAACAGG
rnacentral:rRNA from 1 species